rnacentral:rRNA from 1 species
GUCUACAGCUAUACCACCCUGAACGCGCCCGAUCUCAUCUGAUCUCAGAAGCUAAGCAGGGUUGGGCCUAGUUUGUACUUGGAUGGGAGAAAAUAUCAGAUGGCAAGGGUUAAUU